rnacentral:rRNA from 1 species
AACGAACGCUGGCGGCAUGCCUAACACAUGCAAGUCGAACGAUCCCUUCGGGGAUAGUGGCGCACGGGUGCGUAACGCGUGGGAACCUGCCCUUAGGUUCGGAAUAACUCAGAGAAAUUUGAGCUAAUACCGGAUAAUGUCUUCGGACCAAAGAUUUAUCGCCUUUGGAUGGGCCCGCGUUGGAUUAGCUAGUUGGUGGGGUAAAGGCCUACCAAGGCGACGAUCCAUAGCUGGUCUGAGAGGAUGAUCAGCCACACUGGGACUGAGACACGGCCCAGACUCCUACGGGAGGCAGCAGUGGGGAAUAUUGGACAAUGGGCGAAAGCCUGAUCCAGCAAUGCCGCGUGAGUGAUGAAGGCCUUAGGGUUGUAAAGCUCUUUUACCCGGGAUGAUAAUGACAGGACCGGGAGAAUAAACCCCGGCUAACUCCGU